rnacentral:tRNA from 1 species
GGGGUGGUGGCUCAGUGGUAGAGCGCUCACCUAGCAUGUGUGAGGCACUGUGUUCGAUCCUGAGCACCGCA